AAAAGCUUUUCAUUGUACCUCGGUGCACGUGACAAUAAACUAAACUUUAUGUUUGUAGGUGGCACAAUGACGCAGCGGUAAAGUUGCUGCCUUACAACGCCAGAGAUCCGGGUUCGAUCCUGACUACGGGUGCUACCUAUACGAAGACUGUAAGUUCUCCCAGUGACUGCGUGGGUUUUCUCCAGGUGCUUUGGUUUCUUCCCACAUCCCAAGGACGUACAGAUUUGAAGGUUAAUUGGUUUCGCCAUAGCCUGCACGGAGCGAGCCGCCAAGCCACUGCCCGUCUGCCACAGCCGAACUGGAAGACCAGAGAGCGGAAGGCUGGAGCUGAUGAUGGCGAUGGGCAAGGAGUGAGGCCGGUAGGAGGGGAGAGGGAACCGGGAUCCGGCCUAUUGUGCCCCCGAGGUCAGACACGGGAGGUGCCCCCGGGGCACGAAGGCGGAUGGGCGAGAAAAGGGACGUGGAGAGGGACGUGGCGACCAAUGAAGGCGAUGGCUGGAGGCCCCCUGCAGCAGCCCGGGGCUCGCCUGGACCAGGCAACGCUCAAAACAAUUAGAGCGCAGAUUGGACUUUGAGAAUGACGCCAAAACAUGCCGCCUCUUGCAUGUGGGAUCUGUAGACUAUUUCCGUAUACUUGCUAAUCGAGGUUGUGAUUAGGUAUGACAAUACUCUACUGAACUGUAUGUUAGAAAAUAAUUUCACUGUGCUUAUGCAUAUGUGACAAUGAAGCACCAUCGAAAUA